UUGGUUUCGGGACAGGUGCAUAAUCCACGUGUUUACACUCUGGAAUCCCCCGGGGCUGGAGGUGCCACACCCGGAGAUCCUGGUCCACCUGUGCGGCUUCCUCUGAGCCAGGCUCUCACUGCCCGGGAACCCCGAGCGGUCCCCGGCACCAGUUCCCGUUUGUCUUUCUCUUUAUUCCCCCCAAGCCUGUAAGUGUGAAGUUGCUGUGGGGCAGACACGGUGUAGGCGGCCGAUCUGAAUCCCAGAGGCCGAUCCCCAUCUCCUCCGCGUUAAAAUCAGUGAUGAGGCUGCCCAGGAGGCACCUUGACUCCCUCCCUGGUGCUCGGCCCUGGGGUGGCUCCCUCCUCUCCCGCGGCCCCAAACAGCAGGGCCCUGGGCAUCUUGAUCUGGUUUCCGUUGAGAUUCUUGUCUCGUCUUGUCUCCCUGAAGUGCAGUGUGUUGGCUGGAAAGUGUGUGCAGCUUCCUGGUUCCUGAGCCUUUUCUUCUUCAAGUCGCUCUCCCAGAGGACGGUGUCCCCACGUGUGGUCGCUGCCGCUCCGUGUGCGUCGUCAUCCUACGGCCCUGCCAGUUUGGGUUGGGUCUUUUGUAUGGACGUUCACCCAUUAAUCGUUCAGGCCUUUGCUUCGUUGCACAGGAGAACGGGGAAAGGCCGUCCCUGAGACGCACACGAAUGAAAGAAACAGCCACCACGUCAGUACUGGAGAGAAACCCCUUGCGGCUCCCUGUGCCUGCCAGCAUCUGGGGUCCCCACGGCCGCCCCGAGGCUGCCAGUCAGGCGGCCGGGCCCCAGCUUCGCCUCCUGACCCGCUGUUAGCAAGUCUUCCGAGAAGCCUCCUCUGGCCAGUAAAGCCAUUUACCUCCCCACAGCCCCCUUCCCGGGGUGGUUUAGGCCAGUCCUGGCGGAUCUUCACUGCCAUAUGUUGAUUGUUCGGGAUCGAGACUCGUUCUGGUUUCUCUGCAGACACGUUGCAGGACAUAUGGUGACGCUGUGUUCGUGGCUUAUUCAAACCUCAGGAAGACCCCAGCCCCCUGCCCAGGGGAAGUCCUAACAGGGCAUCCUUGAGGAGCCACCUCCUGGCCCGGCAGGUGACCCAGGGAGGCGGGAGGGAAGAGAGAGGAUGCGCCGCCUUGCCCACUGGAUGGCUCCUCUCAAUGGGUAACAGGGAGAGGACCGUCCAGCCCAGACAUCUCAGAAGAUGGAAAAAUAAGAGAGUUCAUUCCAGCUAAAAAUACAACCAUCUGCCUGUGAAGAGCCUUGCUCGGUGCUGUCAUGUCCACACCCAAAGCAGCAGGGAAAACCACACCGGGGACCGGGCUCAGUGCCGGGAUGCUCCACGGCCAUGACGCAUAUUUACGAGACAUUUUAAAGGACGUCACAGAUGUCAGUGUUAAUUGGUAACAAUGUUCAGAGGAGUCUGAGCGGGAAGAAUGUGAGUAUGUUGGAGAUGCCAGAUGCCGACACGAGGUGUUAGAGGGUGGGCUGAGCUGGGGGCAUGUGUUAAGGGUGAUUUUCUGGGUGGUGACACUGAUAGUGGUCUCCUGAUCCUUUUCUGCAUUUUUCUAAGCUUUCAUCAAUAAACACAAGCGCAAGGAAAUGA